GAUGAACGCUGGCGGCGUGCCUAAUACAUGCAAGUCGAGCGAACGGACGAGAAGCUUGCUUCUCUGAUGUUAGCGGCGGACGGGUGAGUAACACGUGGAUAACCUACCUAUAAGACUGGGAUAACUUCGGGAAACCGGAGCUAAUACCGGAUAAUAUUUUGAACCGCAUGGUUCAAAAGUGAAAGACGGUCUUGCUGUCACUUAUAGAUGGAUCCGCGCUGCAUUAGCUAGUUGGUAAGGUAACGGCUUACCAAGGCAACGAUGCAUAGCCGACCUGAGAGGGUGAUCGGCCACACUGGAACUGAGACACGGUCCAGACUCCUACGGGAGGCAGCAGUAGGGAAUCUUCCGCAAUGGGCGAAAGCCUGACGGAGCAACGCCGCGUGAGUGAUGAAGGUCUUCGGAUCGUAAAACUCUGUUAUUAGGGAAGAACAUAUGUGUAUGUAACUGUACACAUCUUGACGGUACCUAAUCAGAAAGCCACGGCUAACUACGUG
rnacentral:rRNA from 1 species